UACGGAGGGGGCUAGCGUUGUUCGGAAUUACUGGGCGUAAAGCGCGCGUAGGCGGACCUGCAAGUCGGGGGUGAAAGCCCGAGGCUCAACCUCGGAACUGCCUUCGAUACUGCGGGUCUCGAGUCCGGGAGAGGUGAGUGGAAUUCCUAGUGUAGAGGUGAAAUUCGUAGAUAUUAGGAAGAACACCAGUGGCGAAGGCGGCAUCCUGGACCAACACUGACGCUGAGUGAGCGAAAGCCAGGGGGAGCAAACGGGG
rnacentral:rRNA from 1 species